AAUAUUUCAAGGGAAAUUAUAACCCAUAUACAAAAACAGAACUUGGUUACAUUUUAAGAUAUAUAUGGUGACUGCACAAUUUUUAUUUGUAUGCAGUUGUAAUAUCCAGAUUUGUUUUGCAAACAAACUCAUUACAGAGCUAUAGGCAGCUGCCAUCUUGUUUUCCAUUGGACAUCAUAUCAUAUUUGUACUGUGAUGCUGUGAUAUGGAAUCCCAUUGCUAGGUGUUGAACAUGUCUCUUAUUUAAAGAAACACUAUAGUGUUAAAAAUACAAAGCUGUAUUCCUAACACUAUAGUGUCUCUCUGUCCACACACCCCACUCCACUCCUGGUAGCCAUCAAAGGUUUAAACCCCCUUUUUUAAUUCACCUCGGCGCUGGGUCCAUAUCCUGCUCCUCUGACCUCAUUGCGAGGGGGAGCCUUAUGCGCUUGUGCGGUGAGUGCCGUGCACACAUUAGGCCUUCCCCAUAGGAAAGCAUUAAAUCAAUUCUUUCCUAUGGAGGAUUAGAAAACGCUGAAAUUCCUCAGGCAAGGCCUGAGGACGUCCAGUGUUGUUUCACGGUAUUGGAAGACAGCCACUAGAGGCAGUCUUAACCCUUCAAUGUAAACUUUUCAUUUUCUUUUUAAGCAGUUAUCACAAACAAAUAAUACCUUGUUUAUUCUUGCACAGAUUAGAAUGAUUGAGUCAUAUGUGUGCCAGAAAAAAGAUGGCAGCUGCAAUCUCAAUUUCCAGAUGUAGGCCUUGAUUUUAAUAUUUUGUGAUAAGCUUUAAAUUUUUUAAACAUUUUCGAUAAACCUUUCAAAUGAUUUACCUACAAAAAUCCCCAUAGACUUAAA